rnacentral:rRNA from 1 species
GGAUCCAGACUUUGAUUAUGGCUCAGGAUGAACGCUAGCUACAGGCUUAACACAUGCAAGUCGAGGGGCAGCAUGAACUUAGCUUGCUAAGUUUGAUGGCGACCGGCGCACGGGUGAGUAACACGUAUCCAACCUUCCGUUUACUCAGGGAUAGCCUUUCGAAAGAAAGAUUAAUACCUGAUAGUAUGGUGAGAUUGCAUGAUAGCACCAUUAAAGAUUUAUUGGUAAACGAUGGGGAUGCGUUCCAUUAGGUAGUAGGCGGGGUAACGGCCCACCUAGCCGACGAUGGAUAGGGGUUCUGAGAGGAAGGUCCCCCACAUUGGAACUGAGACACGGUCCAAACUCCUACGGGAGGCAGCAGUGAGGAAUAUUGGUCAAUGGGCGAGAGCCUGAACCAGCCAAGUAGCGUGAAGGAUGAAGGUCCUACGGAUUGUAAACUUCUUUUAUACGGGAAUAAAGUAUCCUACGUGUAGGAUUUUGUAUGUACCGUAUGAAUAAGCAUCGGCUAACUCCGUGCCAGCAGCCGCGGUAAUACGGAGGAUGCGAGCGUUAUCCGGAUUUAUUGGGUUUAAAGGGAGCGCAGACG